UCUCCGUUGGUGAACCAGCGGAGGGAUCAUUACCGAAGUUACCUUCAAAACCCACUGUGAACCUUACCUCUUGCCGCGUUGUCUCGGCGGGAGGCGGUGUGCGUCGCGCGCCCUAGCGGGCCGUGCCGCUCCCGUCCCCGCCGGCAGCGCCAAACUCUAAAUGCACAGCGGACUGUACGUUCUGAUUUACAAAAAAAACAAGUUAAAACUUUCAACAACGGGUCUCUUGGUUCUG
rnacentral:misc_RNA from 1 species